GUCCGUGUGGCGGAACUGGCAUACGCACUCGGCUAAGAACCGGGGUCUUGGGAGUUCAAAUCUCCCCACGGAUACCA
rnacentral:tRNA from 1 species